rnacentral:rRNA from 1 species
AUUGAACGCUGGCGGCAGGCCUAACACAUGCAAGUCGAGCGAGAGGCGGACGGGUGAGUAAUGUAUGGGGACUGCCCGAUAGAGGGGGAUAACUACUGUAAACGGUAGCUAAUACCGCAUACUAUCGGAUAACCCAUAUGGGAUUCGCUAGUAGGUGGGGUAAUGUCUCACCUCGGCGACUAUCCCUAGCUGGUCUGAGAGGAUGAUCAGCCACACUGGGACUGAGACACGGCCCAGAGUCCCAUGGAGGCAUCAGUGGGGAAUAUUGCCCAAUGGGCGCAAGCCUGAUGCAGCCAUGCCGCGUGUAUGAAGAAGGCCUUAGGGUUGUAAAGUACUUUCAGCGGGGAGGCGUUACCCGCAGAAGAAGCACCGGCUAACUCCGUGCCAGCAGCCGCGGUAAUAC